CUCCCACAAACGUCUGCCCUUCCUCUCUUUGUUCCUCUUAUCUGGAUCAAACUCGCAGCUGCCUUGAGGUCUGCUCCAAGGCUACCGUCGAGAUGCCCUUGACCCCCCAGCUGCUCGGCUGGAGCUGCUCAGCAGCCGGCAGUCGGAGGCUGUGGUUGUACCGAGCAGCUCCCAGGAGUGAAUGCACGUAAAUGCACAACUGUCAGGUCCAUUUGUAGGAAUGCAGACCUCCACUCCUGGCACUUUUCUUCCUCCGCAUUGUACCUGUGGGAUAUGAAUAAGUCAUUAGAGGAAAAGUCUUUAUUUCACAAAGCAGCUGAAGGUAAAAGUGGAAGGAGAAGGAAAAUGAUGACCUAUUUCAGCGGCUGACCUCAAACAAAGUGCUGCCGAGAGUGUUGGGACUCGAUUUGAGAGCCGUGUUUGUGGGCAGCACAGUGACCUGACCGACGAGAUUAAAAAGCAAAUCACAUCCAAACACCGGGAAAUAUUCCAUUUAUUUGGAUUGCACUGUGGUCCAAACCUCUGAUUCUAUUUAAUAUCACUUUUGUAAUGUGUUAUCAGUAGUGAUGGUAUGAGCAGCAGAGGUAGUUUUGCUCUCUUUCCUGUGUAGUCAGUUUUCGAACAGAGAUGUUUGGCGGAGGAAGUAUGCUGAUCUUUUUUCAGUCAAGUAGAAGUUUCAAUACCAAACACUUCAACAUGUUUCCUGUUUCCCCUCGGUUCAGAUUUGAGUGGGUAUGUCUGUUUAAAACAUGCUGUGUGUGACGCAUCACAUUGCCUUGUUUAAUUAUCACCACAGUCUUAGAUGUGAGUCAUACCAAUUUUGAACCGCCAGUGGGAAGAAUGAACAUUUAAGAGUCUGCUCUUGAUUGAAAACUCUCUGUUUCUUCUCUGUUGUUUCUCGUCUGGGCGUAUCUGCUCAACCUCGAAUCACAAUGCUUACCACGAUACACGUAAAACAUUAAUAUGUGAACUUCGCGAUCAGAUUUGCUCAUUUAUGUUUUCGUGAAUGAAGCCCAAUAAGUUCCAACAGGACCCUAAAAGAGCUCCUGCCAAAAGCCACUUCCACACAAUCAAGUGAAUAUCAGCUCCAUUAGCUUCAUUGUAUCCCAGCUGCUGGACGAUCUAAAGCCACGUAUUGACUCGGUUGUUGAGAGAGUUGUUGUCAUGUUUGUCAUACAGUAUUGGAUGCUGUGAGACCAACUUGAUAAGGUUUUGACAUCAGCUGAAACAAAGGAUUUCAUUGGUCAAACGUGUACAUCUGCAGGGGUAAAUUCUGCUGAAUAUUUUUUGCUUUGCUUUUUUAAUAAACUAACAUGGACAUUUUUGGAA